GACGAACGCUGGCGGCGUGCUUAACACAUGCAAGUCGAACGGAAAGGCCUCAUCUUGCUGGGGUACUCGAGUGGCGAACGGGUGAGUAACACGUGGGUGAUCUGCCUUGCACUCUGGGAUAAGCUUGGGAAACUGGGUCUAAUACCGGAUAUGAACUGCCUUUAGUGUGGUGGUUGGAAAGUUUUUUCGGUGCAAGCUGAGUUCGCGGCCUAUCAGCUUGUUGGUGGGGUAAUGGCCUACCAAGGCGUCGACGGGUAGCCGGCCUGGGAGGGUGUACGGCCACAUUGGGACUGGGAUACGGCCCAGACUCCUACGGGAGGCAGCAGUGGGGAAUGUUGAACAAUGGGCGGGAGCCUGAUGCAGAGACGCCGCGUGGGGGAUGACGGCCUUCGGGUUGGAAACUCCUUUCGACAGGGACGAAGCUUUUUGUGACGGUACCUGUAUAAGAAGCACCGGCUAACUACGUG
rnacentral:rRNA from 1 species